GAGUAUAGAGCGGUAAUAAAAAAAAGAGUUGACACAAGAAAAGCAAAGAUUAUGUUAUGAACUUCAUUAACUUACAGCUGAAGUGCUAUAUGAUGCAGGAGCU